AACGAACGCUGGCGGCAUGCCUAACACAUGCAAGUCGAACGAGACCUUCGGGUCUAGUGGCGCACGGGUGCGUAACGCGUGGGAACCUGCCCUUAGGUUCGGAAUAACUCCCCGAAAGGGGUGCUAAUACCGGAUAAUGUCUUCGGAUCAAAGAUUUAUCGCCUUUGGAUGGGCCCGCGUUGGAUUAGCUAGUUGGUAGGGUAAAAGCCUACCAAGGCGACGAUCCAUAGCUGGUCUGAGAGGAUGAUCAGCCACACUGGGACUGAGACACGGCCCAGACUCCUACGGGAGGCAGCAGUGGGGAAUAUUGGACAAUGGGCGAAAGCCUGAUCCAGCAAUGCCGCGUGAGUGAUGAAGGCCUUAGGGUUGUAAAGCUCUUUUACCCGGGAUGAUAAUGACAGUACCGGGAGAAUAAGCUCCGGCUAACUCCGU
rnacentral:rRNA from 1 species